CCCCCGGUGCUCGUACACGCGAUGAAUCGUCGCGUUCCAGUGCCGAAGAAGAAAUGACGGAUGACGGUAUGCAAGUGGACUGGGCGAUGGGAGGGGGAAAUCCUUUUUGGGCAGUUGUUGAGGAAGCGCAGGCAAAACCCCAUCCAUCCAUCCAUCUAUCUAGGCGACUCCAUCCGGCUUUAAGGGAAGGAAAAGGAUGAAAGGGAACCGGUUGUCUUUCCGCAUGGUGGCGCAUAAAUCCGAACGCCGAAAAUGACACGUUUUCUCCAUUAAAUAUAUGCUCGCAUCAUACAAGCGAGAACAACCACCGAACCGGCGGGCAAGCUUCUUUUUUUCUACCACCCGGAAGCGAUGUACGUGAGAGCAUAACGCGUCAGACGAUUCCAAAGACACAGAGCUCGUGUAAAGAUGAUUUUUGCCACAAAACAACAUGUAGAAACAUACACAUACAAUAUCACGCACCAACGUACAUAAGGUAAGAACCCCUAACCACUUUGCCAGUUAAUGCAGAAACGUUUCGAAGCGAUUGGGAUGAGAACAGUAGCAACAUAAAAAAAAGUACAACCCUACGGCUCAGUAGUCACAAACAUCCACAGCAGAAGAAGCAAUAUAGCUACCGUCCCAUCGUCCCAUUCGCUUGCACACCCCCAUGCAGGCCAAUUCUUAAUGGGUUUCCUCAUUUUGCAACUGCUCGAUGCAUGUUCAUGACGUGGUGCGAGAUUAUUGCUACGUGCAGAACGUUUUAUUGCAUUGCAGGUGUAUCUGAAUGGUUGUUGUUUUUUUUUCGUUUGUUUCUGUGUGUAUUUUGUUUUUUUGUUUCCCCUUUGUUUCUGUACGCCAAACGUGUAGAAUUAUGAACGUUUUUCGGUGAAAUUACAUUCCUGUAAAGAAAACCGUUACCUUUAGUGAAAGAUAAAUGGGAUAGCAUGCUUGGCGUUAGAAUUGAAUUGGUUAUGGGAAAUUGCUAUCGUAUUAAGCGAAAGGUCAACGUUUUGGAACUCUAACUAGAAAACAAAAUUCUGUUGAUAAAUUUCUUUUCAAGAUGUAGAACACUGAUUUUAAGCUAACGUUGUAAUGCGAUUUGCAUAACUUAGGGAGCAACGAAAAUAAAUUUAAAUAUUUUUGGUAAAUCAACUAUUCACAUCAUUAAUUGCUAUAUUUUUCAUAUCAACUGCAUAUACAUUUUAAGGACGAAUUUGUUUGUGCUAUGUAGAGUUAGUAGAUAGUUUUUUGGAAAACCAUUUUGAUGGGAACCAACAUAUAAUUUCAACAGGCUGCUUUUACUUU